UACGUAGGGUGCGAGCGUUGUCCGGAAUUAUUGGGCGUAAAGAGCUCGUAGGCGGCCUGUCACGUCGGAUGUGAAAACCCGCAGCUCAACUGUGGGCUUGCAGCCGAUACGGGCGGGCUGGGAUUCGGUAGGGGAGACUGGAAUUCCUGGUGUAGCGGUGAAAUGCGCAGAUAUCAGGAGGAACACCGGUGGCGAAGGCGGGACUCUGGGCCGAUACUGACGCUGAGGAGCGAAAGCGUGGGGAGCAAACAGG
rnacentral:rRNA from 1 species